rnacentral:SRP_RNA from 12 species
GGCAAAAACAUAGCAGGCAAGAGUCCCAGUUGCAAGGCGUGGCAGAUCACUCAAGCGAAUGACUGCAG